rnacentral:rRNA from 1 species
CGCGUAGGCGGGAUAUUAAGUCUCUUGUCAAAGUGCGGGGCUCAACCCCGUGAUGCGGGAGAAACUAAUAUUCUUGAGUGCCGGAGAGGAAAGCGGAAUUCCCAGUGUAGCGGUGAAAUGCGUAGAUAUUGGGAGGAACACCAGUGGCGAAGGCGGCUUUCUGGACGGUGUCUGACGCUGAGGCGCGAAAGCCAGGGGAGCGAACGGGAUUAGAUACCCCGGUAGUCCUGGCCGUAAACGAUGGGUACUAGGUGUAGGGGGUAUCGACCCCUCCUGUGCCGGAGUUAACGCAAUAAGUACCCCGCCUGGGGAGUACGGCCGCAAGGUUGAA